UUACGAGAAGACCACUUGAAAACGAGAUGCUGUGUCUGAAAACCCUCCCGUCUCUUUACCGCCCCUCCGCCCCCUUCAAGUCGCUUCUCUUCCCCUCCCGCCCUCGCCCCCCUUCCUUAUUCUCACCUCCCUCUCCGGCCCGCCCCUCCCUAAUUCUCUGCGCCGCCCCCGGCAUCUCCUCUGCCUCAUCUGCCGCCUCCUCCGUCACAAAGAUGGCCGCCGCCACCGCUACCACUGUCGAGCACGUAGUCCUCUUUAAGGUCCGCGAUUCCACCGAUCCCUCCAAGAUCGACGCCAUGAUUUCCAAUCUCGGGUCCCUCGUCUCCCUCGACAUCGUCUCCCACCUCGCCGCUGUUCCCAUCCUCCGCCACCGCUCCUCCGCCGCCUCCGCCGCCGGCUUCACCCAUCUCCUCCAUAGCCGCUACCGCUCCAAGCCCGACCUUGCCGCCUACUCCGCCCACCCCGCUCACCAGGCAGUCGUCAAGGAACACGUCCUUCCCAUUUGCGACGACAUCAUGGCCCUCGACUGGGUCGCCGACCUCGACGGACUGGCGGCACCGCCACCGGGGUCGGCGAUGCGGCUGACUCUGGCGAAGCCCAAGGAGGGGGCGGCAGCGGCGGAGCUCCUGGCGGCGAUCCAAGUGGCCCAAGGGGCCGUUCCGGCUGCCCGGCAGGUGAGCUAUGGGGAGAACUUCUCGCCGGCGAGGGCCAAGGGGUACUCCGUGGGGUUCCUUUCGGUGUUCCCGGGGGUGGAGGAGCUCGAUGCAAUGGACGGGGAAGGGAAUGAGGCUGUGGAGGCGCACAAGGAGAAGGUGAGGCCGCUGCUUGAGAGCCUUAUCGUCAUUGAUUUCGUGGUCCCGCCCCCGCCGGCUGCCAGCCUUUAAUGGAUUCCGCUAAAAAGAUUUAUUUUUGGAAGAAAGUUUACUAUUUUGUCUGAUGUCGGAGAUGGCCCUGUCAAAGGUGCUUGAUUUUUGGAAUUAUGGGUGGCCAUCUGCUUGGAGUUUCAUUCCCCACUGAAUGUGCUGGAAACACUGAGAGAGUGCAGCCAUGCCUAUCCACGAAUGAUCUGGAUUUAGUUUCAGAGAAUGAUAGUGAUUACUUUCUAUUUAGAGUUGGUGCCUAGUUCUUUAUAGAUGUUUAGGCCUUUGAGAUGCUUUUGUGUCUUUUCCACCAUUCAAUGGUUGUAAGCCUAUGGAAAAGACAUACUUCCUUAUUUCUAUCCUUUCUUUUUCCUUUUUUUUGGCUCCUUGGGUGAUGUUCCAUCUACAUCUUUGAAAUUGCGCAUGGAUCUUCAUACUCUUUCUUCUUCAAGGAUUUUGCUUCCUACAGGAUUUUUUGCCCUCCCGGAAGUGGAGCUGUAACGCUGGAUUGCAUCUGUAUCUUGUUUUCCAUGAAAUGUGGGAUCUUGCAAGCAAUGAUUAUAUGUAAUUCAUGGCAAUAUGAUUAUAUGAAAACAGUAUAACAAGUAGAGAAUUCCAUGCACGUUGUAGUUGCUUUUAUUUUAACCAAGAGAGUUUGGAGGUUAAUGAUUGC